UACGUAGGGGGCAAGCGUUGUCCGGAUUUAUUGGGCGUAAAGCGCGCGCAGGCGGUUUUUCAAGUCAGUGGUGAAAGCCCGGAGCUCAACUCCGGAACUGCCAUUGAAACUGUGAAACUUGAGGAUGAGAGAGGUGAGUGGAAUUCCCAGUGUAGAGGUGAAAUUCGUAGAUAUUGGGAAGAACACCGGUGGCGAAGGCGGCUCACUGGCUCAUUUCUGACGCUCAGGCGCGACAGCGUGGGGAUCAAACAGG
rnacentral:rRNA from 1 species